rnacentral:SRP_RNA from 1 species
GCUGGGUGUGGUGGCGCACACCUGUAGUCCCAGCUGCUUGGGAGGCUGAGGCAGGAGAAUCGCUUGAACCCAGGAGGUGGAGGUUGCAGGGAGCUGAGAUUGCGCCACUGCACUCCAACCUGGGCAACAGAGUGAGACUCCGUCUCAA